UCGGGAAUUUUGGGCAAUGGGCGAAAGCCUGACCCAGCAACGCCGCGUGAAGGAUGAAGUAUUUCGGUAUGUAAACUUCGAAAGAAUAGGAAGAAUAAAUGACGGUACUAUUUAUAAGGUCCGGCUAACUACGUGCCAGCAGCCGCGGUAAUACGUAGGGACCAAGCGUUGUUCGGAUUUACUGGGCGUAAAGGGCGCGUAGGCGGCAAUUCAAGUCAUCUGUGAAAUCUCCGGGCUUAACUCGGAACGGUCAGAUGAUACUGCUUUGCUAGAGUGCAAAAGGGGCAAUCGGAAUUCUUGGUGUAGCGGUGAAAUGCGUAGAUAUCAAGAGGAACACCUGAGGUGAAGACGGGUUGCUGGGCUGACACUGACGCUGAGGCGCGAAAGCCAGGGGAGCAAACGGGAUUAGAUACCCAAGUAGUCCCUGAGCGGGCUGGCAAGGCGCAU
rnacentral:rRNA from 1 species